rnacentral:rRNA from 1 species
UUUAAUUCGAAGCAACGCGAAGAACCUUACCAAGACUUGACAUCCCCUGACAGCUUGUUGAAAGGCAGUGUCUCUUCGGAGCAGGGAGACAGGUGGUGCAGUGGUUGUCGUCAGCUCGUGUCGUGAGAUGGUUGGGUUAACGUCCCGCAACGAGCGCAACCCUUAUCCUUAGUUACCAGCACGUAAAGGUGGGGACUCUAGGGAGACCGCCGGGGACGACUCGGAGGAAGGUGGGGACGACGUCAAAUCAUCAUGCCCCUUAUGUCUUGGGCUACACACGUGCUACAAUGGCCGCAACAGAGGGAAGCGAGAGCGCAAGCUGGAGCAAAACCCUAAAAAGCGGUCCCAGUUCGGAUUGUGGGCUGCAACCCGCCCACAUGAAGUCGGAGUUGCUAGUAAUCGCGAAUCAGCAUGUCGCGGUGAAUGCGUUCCCGGGCCUU